AUACUUACCUGGCAGGGGAGAUACUGCGAUGAUGAAGGUGGCUUUCCCAGGGUGAGGCUUAUCUAUUGCACUCCGGAUGUGCUGACUCCUGCGAUUUCCCCCAAAGUGGACAUUUGACUGCAUAAUUUGUAGUAGUGAGGGACUGUGUUCAUGCUUUCCCCUG